UACGAAGGGGGGCGAGCGUUGUUCGGAAUUACUGGGCGUAAAGGGCGCGCAGGCGGCUCUGAAAGUCAGAUGUGAAAGCCCCGGGCUUAACCUGGGAAUGGCAUUUGGGACUGCAAGGCUUGAGUGCGGCAGAGGAGACUGGAAUUCCUGGUGUAGCAGUGAAAUGCGUAGAUAUCAGGAGGAACACCGAUGGCGAAGGCAGGUCUCUGGGCUGACACUGACGCUCAUGCACGAAAGCGUGGGGAGCAAACAGG
rnacentral:rRNA from 1 species